AGCCUUGCUGUGGGGAAAGUCCCCGGACAUUCGGAAGAGAGUUCCACCCUUAAAUGGGAAGCUCCUCGUGGCGGCCUGUUUGACGAAGACGGCCUUGGCCGGAGUCAGGGUCGCUACGGGCAGCAUUUGUCAUAGCACAGUCAUGCAAGUAGUGGUCGGGUGUAAAUGCCUGGCCGCCAACUCAACGGGGCUUACUCUCC
rnacentral:RNase_MRP_RNA from 1 species